AAGCAAUUUGCUCAUAGCCAUAGCUUUCUUGUGAAAGUAGGAUAUUAACCCAGGUGUCUUGGUGCUGGAGAACAGAACUGGCCAGAGUCCAUCCUGUCUCCCACCGGCAUCCCAUUACGAAAUGAACACAGAAAAGGCAGGUCUGCAAUGCCAACAUCUAGUAUCUAUCCCAAAGACCAGGGAGAAAGGAAGGAAAGAUUCUGGUUCUGUCCUCUUCCCCAAGGCAAGGCUGGCUGCCCUACCAACAGAGGCAAAGAGAAGAGUGUGCAAGGCUGGCUGCCCUCCCAACAGAGGCAAAGAGGAGUGUGUGUUGAAAUAUCCAUUGAAUCCCUGAGACAACUGGAUCCUGGCCCAUUGAAUCAUAAACUCAAAUCUCACAUCAUAACCCCAAAUGACCUGUUACUCACCAUGUGGCCCAGCUGUCUUCAAACUCACCAGCCUCCUGCCUUAGCCUUCUAAAUGCUUGGAUUACAGGCAUGACCCACCAUAACUGGCUUUGUUUUAGUUUCAGAGAAGAUGAAACUGAUGUGCGUCAAAAAGCUGGUAGUCUGUCAAGGAAAUGAGCUGAACAUGUCUGUGUACAGCUUUUGUGCCAUCCCUGGAUGAGCGAGCUGUCUGCCUCUAUGUUCUCCACAAAAUGGAAUAUAGCUGUACACCCAAGCCAAGUUAUGGAGGCUGGGAAGACCUAGAAUGUGGCAUCACUAUUUGCUGAAAUUUUUAAUAUAAUGCCUCUUAGCCUGGUUUGGAGAAAACGUCACAGAGAGGCACCAUUUGUUGUGGUUUUACAUGAAAAUUUUCUGACCCUGAACCUGGUUUGAUGGAAAUCAUUUGCUGAGGAAACCAUGCCGAUUACCGACCGAGCUCUCAAUGGAAAAAUGCAGUCGGCGUGAACCACGCACGAACACAGCAGAGAAAGAAGAAAACACACACCACGAGGAACCCUAAUAGGACAAUACAUUAUAAGUCACAGUGCUACGGAGAAACCCAGUAGCCACAUGGAAGCAGAGACCAUGCAUAUGCAUCUACUCCGCAGCUCUGUGAAUGUCAGCAGCUCCCACGGACUGGAGAUCCCGUGAGAUCCCGUGAGAUCUCACCCAUAGCCUCAUGGUACAUCCACUUGGUGUGCUGGGAGAGUCAGGAUGAGGACCUGAGAAGAACAGCAGCUUGAACCUGACUUCAUUUAACAGCCCACUGCCCUCUUGCCAAGAACCCAUCACAGACCUUCCCAGAAGAGAGGGAUGAGCCUCACCUAUGAAUAAGUCCUCAGAAACUCAAAUUUGAUUCUAAUGGAUUGUUUUCUCAGAAAGACUGAGCAUGUCCCCCCACAUCUCUGUCAUUUCCCACAGUAGUAACCUCUGCAGAUGCCACAUAGAAAACAAAACAAAACAAAAAAACAUGAGGUUGGUGGGCAGAUAGGCAGGGUAUAAACAAACAGCCUUGUAACCCAGAAGCUGUGUGAUAUACAGUAAACUUCACAACACUGAAAAGAUGUCCUAUCUGUUAAAAUGGGGUAAUAACAACUACCCGAAUGUUUAGGAAUAGAACUUCAAUAAAUGAUACAUUUUAUAGUACAGCAGACCAUCCUGUAAAGGUUUCAUCCUUCACUGUGGUGAUAAAUAUCCCAAACCACAUUGAAAAGCAUUGCAUCUACAUUUAUCUACACUGUAACUGUACUGUAAAUCAUGGGGGAGGGGAGAAUCAUAAAAACACCACCUGUCACCGUGUCAUUAAAGCAAGUUGGAAGUGAUACUUACAGAAACACAGCAAGAGCACCCCCAGUCACACAGUUCAAUCUCUUAGCAAGCGUUUUCUUUCUAGCCCAGUGGUUCUCAGUUUGGAAUUUUUGGCACUGCCUAGAGAUAGUUUUGUUGUUAAAACUGAGAAAAGAGCCGGGCGUGGUGGCACACGCCUUUAAUCCCAGCACUCAGGAGGCAGAGGCAGG
rnacentral:lncRNA from 1 species